rnacentral:rRNA from 1 species
AUGCCAGCCGCCGCGGUAAUACGGAGGGUGCAAGCGUUGUCCGGAAUCACUGGGCGUAAAGGGUGCGCAGGCGGGGCAGCAAGUCGGAGGUGAAAGUCCAUGGCUUAACCAUGGAAGUGCCUUCGAAACUGUUGCUCUUGAGUCCCGGAGAGGCUGUCGGAAUUCGUGGUGUAGCGGUGCAAUGCGUAGAUAUCACGAGGAACACCCGAGGCGAAAGCGGACAGCUGGACGGGUACUGACGCUCAGGCACGAAAGUGUGGGAAGCAAACAGGAUUAGAAACCCCGGUAGUCC